rnacentral:lncRNA from 1 species
UGGUGAAAGGAUGUGUUACCUUGUUGAAACUGGUGAAUUUGAUGAGAGGUUUGAGGGGCUACAUACAAUUUGUUAUGUCCAUAUUCAAAUGUGCUAGAGGAAGAAAAGUUAUUAUGAGAUUGUGUAUUGCCCAUUCCAGUAGCCAUAAAGUUAGGAUGCUGCUGCAGAACCACUUCACUACUUGAAGCAGUUUCCUGUCCCUGCAUUGCAGCAUUACCAGACAUAUGGACUAGUUGGUUGCCCUGCAGACAAAUGCCAAAACAUCAAAUAUCCAAUACAUAUAAGGCAUAAUACAUCAUUUUAUAAAAAUGACUUACAUUUGACAUUCUGAAUUCUUCUUGCUUACUGGGAAAAAAUGAGGAUGGUGAGGAUGAUGACGGUGCAGGUGGAAAUGAGACUGGGGGCAAAGAUGCUUGUCCAGUUGGUGGCAGAGGUGGUGGGAGUGGGGGUGCAGAUGGUGAUAAUGGUGGGGGCAGAGGUGGUGGUGGUGGUGGCGGUGAAGAAGGCAAGGGUGGGAGAGGAGGUGGUGGUGGUGGAGAAUCCAAAAGAGGUGGAGGAGCAGUAGGUAGAGGGGGCAGCUCUGUUGGAUUGGUCGACGUUGGUUCCAUAGACGCACUAUAAUUUUCAUGCUGCAAGUCAAUUUUAUGGUUAUAA